CAGGGCAUCAGGCCCAUCUCAGCAACGAGUGAUGGGAGGCCCUGCCUAGGCCGCCAUCCAGGCUCCCUGGGUGGCUAAGGCUCGGAGCUGCCUGGCUGUGUGGCCGCAGGAGGUGGUGGCUGAGCUGGACUCAGCCUCUCCCUCUGGCCCUGCCCAUGAGGGAAGAGAAGUCGGGCCCCUCCCAGUCAGGAAGCACAUCAGUGGCUGAGCUGUCCCUUCCUGCCUGAGGCCUCAGUCUCCCCAUCUGUCAUCAGAGAGGGUUAGAUUACAAGGUCUCAGCUCCUCUGCCCCAAGGUCUGGAGCCCAGAGCCUGGCCCAGGUCCAAGUCCGGUCUCUGGAAGGGCCUGCCCACUGGCACCAGUGCAACACUGGAAGAAGUGGGAGGGGGCCUAGUUCUGGGCUAAGGGGGCUGUUUCUGUUGGACUUUGGCUGUCUGCCUUCCAGGGCAAUGUGCUCAGCUGUCGGAAUGAGGUAAGGAGCUGCGGCCUCACUGUGGUGAGAGUGGGUGUGUGGAAAUCAGAGAGCCCCCCUUUCAUAAGAAGCCCUCAAGCCCAAUCCCUGGGGUCAGACAUUUAUUUGCAGAGUUCAAUAUACAGAGCUGGGGAUCCUGUGGCGUUGGUGGGUGGGGGAAGGGCUGGCAUCAAGGACCCCUUCCUGGUAGAGGAUCUAUUUCGGGCCAACUGUGAGAACAGGCACGUCCUGACUGGAAUUGCAGGGAAGGAGGGUUCCCAAGUUGGCAAAGGCCCCAGACUGGCUCCAUGUCCCCCCUACACCCCCUCCAAGAGCCCUGCAGGGUCCCCCACCCAGGCCAUAUCUCCAUCUUGUCCUUUCUCUGUCCCAGGAAUUCAAAUUCAUCAAGGACAUCAAGCUGGUACAGAAGGCUGCAAAUCUGUACACCAUGCAGCCCGAUGAGCACUUUGGGGCCUGGUUGCAGGCUGUGGAGCCCCUGAGCGAGGAGCUACAGCCUGUCCUGUCUGCUGGAGCCAUGAUACCAGUGGACCAGAAAGAUUCCACUCUUAUUCAAAGACAAGAAGAGCCACUCAUCUUCCUGCCCAGGGCUGAACACCAGGCCCCCAAAAAAGAGCCCAGUGGUGGUGGCAGAUGACGCUCCUUAGACCAGCUGAACUACAUCAGGGACAAAGCGGGGACACUCAGGUGCACGGGGCCACCUCUCAGAUGCUGAUAUGAAUGAAAACUUUGUGAUCCAUUUCCUGGGGUCCCUGAAGACCACAAGGGAGUGGACGACCACCCCCAUCUCCCUGACACAUUUUCC
rnacentral:lncRNA from 1 species